GACGAACGCUGGCGGCGUGCCUAAUACAUGCAAGUUGAGCGAUUAAGCUUGGUGCUUGCCCCAAUUUGAAGAGCAGCGAACGGGUGAGUAACGCGUGGUGAAUCUGCCUUUGAGCGGGGGACAACAUUUGGAAACGAAUGCUAAUACCGCAUAACAACUUUAAACAUAAUUUUUAAGUUUGAAAGAUGCAAUUGCAUCACUCAAAGAUGAUCCCGCGUUGUAUUAGCUAGUUGGUGAGGUAAAGGCUCACCAAGGCGAUGAUACAUAGCCGACCUGAGAGGGUGAUCGGCCACAUUGGGACUGAGACACGGCCCAAACUCCUACGGGAGGCAGCAGUAGGGAAUCUUCGGCAAUGGACGAAAGUCUGACCGAGCAACGCCGCGUGAGUGAAGAAGGUUUUCGGAUCGUAAAACUCUGUUGGUAGAGAAGAACGUUGGUGAGAGUGGAAAGCUCAUCCAGUGACGGUAACUACCCAGAAAGGGACGGCUAACUACGUG
rnacentral:rRNA from 1 species